rfam:Ictidomys tridecemlineatus contig058181, whole genome shotgun sequence.
UGGGGGUGGCUCAGUGGUAGAGCGCUGGCCUAGCAGGCCUGAGGCCCUGGGUUCUAUCCCUAGCACCUCAA